ensembl:piRNA 21ur-2772 ncRNA
UACUUCUUCGACUAAACCCAA